AAAUCUUUUGUCUAAAAAUAUUAUUGUACACUUUAUAGCACUCCAACUGUAAUUUUAUUGUACAAACGUGUUAUGUGUUCCGACUUGGUACCUGUAUUCGAUUGGUAAAUUAUUGUUUUAUUGAUGUAUUUGGGUUUUUUUCAAGGAAAAUUAAUUUUCGUAGCAUUUCGAGCAAAAUCUACUAGAGUUGACAAUCCACAAGACUUGAUCAGAAAGUGCUUUGUAGACUGUUGCAGUUUUUAAUGAAUCAUUUCAUCUUUAGUUGUGGCUUUUGGGUGCGUAAUUACCGACCGAUCUCAUCUGGUGUUUGUAGUUUGAAAUGAAAUGUCACGUUGCUGAAAAUAUUUUCUAAAAAACCUGAAAUGAGCGGCGUGGACGUGUUUAUUUCUGGCGCCAUCUUCUGUGUAGUCUGAUGUACUGCAAGCGUAAAGUGUCAAACGGAAACGCCGAGCCUGUCCUUCUUGACGCACCGUCGUGACGUCGCAGCAGCAUCAUGGUCAUGGCGCGCUGUCAGAUCGCGUGCUCACUCAAAACAAACCGUUAGGAUGUGUUUGAAUGGGACGUAGAGGUUGUGCAGCACGAGAAGCGCACGGUUACAUGAUGGAUGUGAACGAAGGGUCCGCGCUCGGCGUCUUCACCUGCGAGCUGUGAGAACUGUCCAGUCCCUGCAGCUUUCUCCGGCCAGAAGCCGCCAAACACCAGAGCAAUAGUGCUCUUGGAGGAAUGUUACGGCACGAAGGAUCCCUUCAGCCCAGAGAGAGAAAAGUUUCUGGUUUUAGGAUCCAAGUGCUGUCUAAGAAACAAAAAACAUGACUCUCCAAUAGGCUGACUGCAGUCUGUUCUACACCGAGCGCUUCUGUUUGCCCUGUGUGCGGGACCACCUUUGGCAGUUUCCAGAACGGGGUCAGAAUGAGGUGCUGAGGAAAAAGAGUGUCCAAAAGACGUCCUCUUCAUGAUGCUAGGAUGACUUAGUCAGGACACUAGUGAGUCUCGAACCGGUUGUUGGAGUGCAAACACUAGUGCUACAUCACACCUGCGGGCCUGCCUCCUUCCAGAUCCUUCCGGCCAUAGGUUGAGGCUGAGCUUGACUCAGUUGCAAAAACCACAGGUACGUAGUGAAGUAUAAGUCCCAGCACACAGACACACACAGUUGGAGAUCUGUGGCUCACACUGCUGAGCGCUGGCAAACAAUGCCAGAGGUCCCUGGUUCAAAUCCAGCCAGAUCACCUCAAUUACAGAGCAGAGGUGGAGCUGGAGGACCAGAGAGGAGUGGCGCUGGAGGACCAGAGAGGAGUGGCGCAGGAGGAGCAGACCAGAGAGAAGGUGAAACCAAAGUGGAAUGGCUGGGCAGGCCAGUGAUGGAGCCUUGGCAUUGCUGGAGAGUGGAACAGCUGACCAGAUGGAGGAGCUUGAUGGCUGACCAAAUAGAGUGGAAUGGCAAACAAAGUGGUGAGACAACAGUGAAGAGGAGAGUGUUGACAGCACCCAAAGGAAGAAGAGGGGGGGACCAAGACAGCAAGACAGCUAAUUUAUUUUUGUGUAAUUUCACUACUUCUAAACAUUGUGUGACUUCUUCCACAUUACUGUCAUCCACUAGAUGGCACUCAACCCACAACUUACUUUAUAAAUUCAACUUCACAGGUGCCAUGGUGAUGGACCAUACAGUACCUCCCUCCCCCCCCUCCCCUCUCUUCUCUUAUCAGCCUAAGAAAAUGUGGCCAAUAAAUUAUUUCCUUCAGAUGCACACUGUUCAUUUGAUUGAUCUCAUAUAGAAUGCAUUUGGUUAAGUUAAAAGAGCACUUCAGUCAUCAUCUUUAGCUCAAAACACCAGUGCACAACUAUGAUUAGGGGUGGGUAUAUGUAUAACAUUGUAAUGAGAACAUUAUGAUUCCUUGACUUGACUUAAAUAAGCUGCCAGCAAAACACUUCAGUUUACCAU